UACGUAGGUCCCGAGCGUUGUCCGGAUUUAUUGGGUUUAAAGGGUGCGUAGGCGGACGCUUAAGUCAGCGGUAAAAUUGCGGGGCUCAACCUCGUCGAGCCGUUGAAACUGGGUGCCUUGAGUGGGCGAGAAGUACGCGGAAUGCGUGGUGUAGCGGUGAAAUGCAUAGAUAUCACGCAGAACUCCGAUUGCGAAGGCAGCGUACCGGCGCCCAACUGACGCUGAAGCACGAAGGCGUGGGUAUCGAACAGG
rnacentral:rRNA from 1 species